GGAGUGUUUAACUACUAAGGUAUUAAGACCAUAAUGUACUCGUACGAUCGGGAAACGUUAAAAAUGAUCGAACUGCUGAUUCAGCUGGUGACGAAUUUCCGAUAUUAUUAAAGAUUCACAAUACAAAGGGAACUUCCUAUGCUUAAUUGAGUCCCUAAAUAAAUCUGAACAGUUGUUUUAUUCAAAAUUAUCGAAAAGCAAAGUUUAAUAUG
rnacentral:lncRNA from 1 species